rnacentral:rRNA from 1 species
GACGAACGCUGGCGGCGUGCCUAAUACAUGCAAGUUGAGCGCUGAAGGUUGGUACUUGUCCCAACUGGCUGAGCAGCGAACGGGUGAGUAACGCGUGGGGAAUCUGCCUUUGAGCGGGGGACAACAUUUGGAAACGAAUGCUAAUACCGCAUAAAAACUUUAAACACAAGUUUUAAGUUUGAAAGAUGCAAUUGCAUCACUCAAAGAUGAUCCCGCGUUGUAUUAGCUAGUUGGUGAGGUAAAGGCUCACCAAGGCGAUGAUACAUAGCCGACCUGAGAGGGUGAUCGGCCACAUUGGGACUGAGACACGGCCCAAACUCCUACGGGAGGCAGCAGUAGGGAAUCUUCGGCAAUGGACGAAAGUCUGACCGAGCAACGCCGCGUGAGUGAAGAAGGUUUUCGGAUCGUAAAACUCUGUUGGUAGAGAAGAACGUUGGUGAGAGUGGAAAGCUCAUCAAGUGACGGUAACUACCCAGAAAGGGACGGCUAACUACGUG